rnacentral:tRNA from 1 species
GGAGGCGUGGCAGAGCGGUUGAAUGCGGCGGUCUUGAAAACCGUUAGGGCAGUAAUGCCCUCAGGGGUUCGAAUCCUCUCGCCUCCG